GACGAACGCUGGCGGCGUGCUUAACACAUGCAAGUCGAACGGAAAGGCCAUGCUUUUGUGGGGUGCUCGAGUGGCGAACGGGUGAGUAACACGUGAGUAACAUGCCCUUGACUUUGGGAUAACUUCAGGAAACUGGGGCUCAUACCGGAUAGGAGCUCCUGAUGCAUGGUGGGGGUUGGAAAGUUUCGGCGGUUGUGGAUGGACUCGCGGCUUAUCAGCUUGUUGGUGGGGUAGUGGCUUACCAAGGCUUUGACUGGUAGCCGGCCUGGGAGGUUUACCGGCCACAUGGGGACUGAGAUACGGCCCAGACUCCUACGGGAGGCAGCAGUGGGGAAUAUGACACAAUGGCCGGAAGCCUGAUGCAGCAACGCCGCGUGCGGGAUGACGGCCUUCGGGUUGUAAACCGCUUUCUCCUUUGACGAAGCGGGAGUGACGGUAAUGGGUAAAGAAGCACCGGCUAACUACGUG
rnacentral:rRNA from 1 species